UAGUCCUAGCCGUAAACGUUGGGUGCUAGGUGUGGGCGGAUAUCGACCCCGUCCGUGCCGAAGCUAACGCAUUAAGCACCCCGCCUGGGGAGUACGGCCGCAAGGCUAAAACUCAAAGGAGUUGACGGGGGCCCGCACAAGCGGCGGAGCAUGCGGCUUAAUUCGAUGCAACGCGAAGAACCUUACCUGGGCUUGACAUGCAGGGCAAAGCCGGUGAAAGCCGGCGCUCUACGGAGCCUGCAC
rnacentral:rRNA from 1 species